rnacentral:rRNA from 1 species
UACGGGGGGGGCAAGCGUUGUUCGGAAUUACUGGGCGUAAAGGGCUCGUAGGCGGCCAACUAAGUCAUACGUGAAAUCCCUCGGCUUAACCGGGGAACUGCGUCUGAUACUGGAUGGCUUGAGAUUGGGAGAGGGAUGCGGAAUUCCAGGUGUAGCGGUGAAAUGCGUAGAUAUCUGGAGGAACACCGGUGGCGAAGGCGGCAUCCUGGACCAACACUGACGCUGAGGAGCGAACGGG